rfam:Felis catus isolate Cinnamon breed Abyssinian chromosome A3, whole genome shotgun sequence.
GCCUGGGUGGCUCAGUCGGUUAAGCGUCUGACUUUGGCUCAGGUCGUGAUCUCAGGGUUCAUGGGUUCAAACCCUGUGUUGGGCU